rnacentral:rRNA from 1 species
GUCCUUUCGUUUUCUUUGGAAGGUCUGGCCUGCCCAGUGAAUUAAUUUUAACGGCCGCGGUAUAUUGACCGUGCAAAGGUAGCAUAAUCAUUAGUCUUUUAAUAGAAGGCUGGUAUGAAAGGUUUAACGAAACAUAAACUGUCUUAUUUAUAAAUUUAUAAUUUAACUUUUAAGUUAAAAGGCUUAAAUGUUUUUGGAGGACGAGAAGACCCUAUAGAGCUUUACAUUAUUUUAUUUUUAGUAUUUAUUUGUUUAAUAAUUUGAUAUUAAUUUUAAUAUUGUUUUGUUGGGGUGACAAGAAAUAUAUAUUUAACUUUUAUUAUUUAGUUUACAUUAAUUUAUGACUUAUUGGAUCCAAUACUAUUGAUCAUUAGAUUAAGUUACCUUAGGGAUAACAGCGUAAUCUUCUUUCAGAGUUCAAAUUUACAAGAAGGCUUGCGACCUCGAUGUUGGAUUAAGAUAAUAAUUAGGUGCAGUAGCUUAAUUAAUAGGUCUGUUCGACCUUUAAAUUCUU